rnacentral:rRNA from 1 species
AAUGAUUGUACCCGCAAAGGAAGCAUCGUGCUAACUACGUGCCAGCAGCCGCGGUAAGACGUAGGAUGCAAGCGUUGUCCGGAUUUAUUGGGCGUAAAGAGUUCGUAGGUGGUAAUUNAAGUCUAAUGUGAAAUCAUAGAGCUUAACUCUAUUCCCGCAUUGGAAACUGCUUUACUUGAGCAAGGUAGGGGUCAGAGGAAUUCCUGGUGUAGCGGUGAAAUGCGUAGAUAUCAGGAGGAACACCGGUGGCGAAAGCGUCUGACUGGGCCUUUGCUGACACUGAGGAACGAGAGCUAGGGGAGCGAAAGGGAUUAGAUACCCCUGUAGUCCUAGCCGUAAACGAUGGAUACUAGUUGUCGCAGGAAUCGACCCCCGCGGUGACGUCGCUAACGCAUUAAGUAUCCCGCCUGGG